GAAAUGGUGAAAAGAGGCAAUGGUAAAAUGCAUUGCAUAGAGAAUUGAUUAGUAAAUUUCUGUCACUACUCAAUUUUUAACAGAUACUUAUCUGAAGAUAUUAAAAUUUUAAUUUAUGUUAGUAUGAUUUGAUUAGCAUGGUUGGUUUUCUAUUGAACUAGCAGUGCUUCCAGCCAAUAAAUGCUUAAAUAAUGUAGAUGCCAAACUUGUGUCUGCAUUAUCUUAUAUGCCAUAUUGUGAGUACUGCAGUUCUGAAUCACCUUCAUAGAAUUGGUA
rnacentral:misc_RNA from 1 species